rnacentral:rRNA from 1 species
UGAGGAAUAUUGGUCAAUGGCCGGAAGGCUGAACCAGCCAAGCCGCGUGAAGGACGAAGGUGCCAAGCAUUGUAAACUUCUUUUGUCAAGGGACAAAAUCAGGCUCGAGAGCCUGACCGAGGGUAUUUGAAGAAAAAGCAUCGGCUAACUCCGUGCC